UGUCAAACAACUGUCACAGUCAGCCUGCCGCCCGGCCAGCAAGACAUGUGCCCUGGACAGCCGCCCGCAGGCAGACAGGCUGUGUGUGUUCCCUCGGCAGCCAGAGGAUGUGCGGUGUGCUUGGGGACUCAUCCGCUAGCACAGGAGAAAGACAGCAUCACUGGCGAGUCCAGGUUUGUUGGAAAGCCGCUUAGUGCGCCAACCCUGGAGCCGCACUUCAUUCUCUGCAGAGGAGGCAGCUUCGAGAUGGCGCACCUUAGUCACUGAGGAGCAUGGCCAUAUUGGAAACGACAUGUUGAAAAUAAGGGAGUCAAAACUGGAAGAAGCCUGCGUCUCUGAAUUUCUGCUCAAAGGAGACCAUCUGUCAACCAAAAACUCCUAUUCUGCACUUAACAUGAGUGGGAGAGGUACUAUGUCACAAUGAGCACAUAUGAGCAUGUUCCUUGGAAGAUAACCAGUGGAAGAUAAACAAAAUGUUGGGCUUCAGUUGGAGCAGAGCCUUCCAAAAGACAUGAGGUGACUAGUUGCUCCUGAGAGAACUAGAAUUUUUGGACUGUUGGCCGAACGAAUAUUUAGGAGAUUGCCUCUGUGUGUCUGUGUACACGCUCAAAUCUUGCCUCUAGUUCUGAGGAAAGAGAAGAAGAAAGAUGAAUGUAGGACCACCAACCUCAAUACGACAGGCACCAAGGAUUGAAGAGAAGACAUUGCUAUUUGUGAAUUCCUGUGUGGGUGUCUGUGUGGUGGCAGGUGAGGGUGAGGCAAAGAGGAGGACAGCUAACUGCUGACACCAUGGUCCUCCGUUGAUGCUAAGGUGCUGAGGGGCCAAAGCCUCUCACAGACUUUUCCUGAUUCUUCCCAUGCUGCCAUGA